rnacentral:lncRNA from 1 species
GCAGAAAACAUGGAUGUAUGGUGAAGUUAGACUUAUGUUGUAUAAGAUGAGUUUAUGGACACACGUAUUCCAGAAGGGUCAUACAUCAGUGUAAUACAGAUCAUUGCAAAACAAAAGCAGAAAGCCAUGUUACUAUCCUGUGUAAGGAUGUUCAGGCAUCUGAUCUGGAGGACCUCGUACCCUGUACAAGGCUUUUGUUGUCCCAGAACCCUCCCUUGGCACAUGCUGGGUUGUGCUUCCUUUUGUAAAUGAUUUUCAAUGGAAUUUUGCACAUAAUACAUUGUAAUACUGUACAAUAAUCCUAUGUAAAAUAAUUUUUGC